rnacentral:rRNA from 1 species
CAGUAGCCGCGGUAAUACGUAGGUGGCGAGCGAUGUCCGGAAUUAUUGGGCGUAAAGGGAGCGCAGGCGGACAUAUAAGUCCAUCUUAAAAGUGCGGGGCUCAACCCCGUGAGGGGAUGGAAACUGUAUGCCUUGAGUGCAGGAGAGGAAAGCGGAAUUCCCAGUGUAGCGGUGAAAUGCGUAGAUAUUGGGAGGAACACCAGUGGCGAAGGCGGCUUUCUGGACUGUAACUGACGCUGAGGCUCGAAAGCCAGGGGAGCGAACGGGAUUAGAUACCCAGUAGUCCCUGUCUCUUAUACAC